rnacentral:lncRNA from 1 species
CUCAAAAUUUUAUCAAAUUUUUUUCUAUGAUUUCAUGUCCCUUAUCUCUAGCUCACCCAAAAAUCUCAGCCAAAAGCCAUCUGGGGCGUCCCCUAUAAAUAGGGGACCAGGACACGUUACAUGGGAUGAAGGGGUGCCAACUUUUGAUGCUCCAACUUUCCAUGCACCAAAUAAAUUCAUUGAGUGAAUUUUUGGUAAUUUAGAUACUUAGAGCAGAAGGACUCUUCCUUCUCUAUGUGCUAUAAAAAUUCUAUUAAUUUUUAGUAUCAAAACAUAGGAUUUCUAAUUAAUCUUAUAAAAAUUCUAUUAAUUUUUAGUAUCAAAACAUAGGAUUUCUAAUUUAUCUUCUAAGCCAAUGUGUUUAAUAAAGAGCCUUCUUUGAGAAAGACUCUUUAUUUCUCACGCUGAUUUGAGG